UACGAAGGGGGCUAGCGUUGCUCGGAAUCACUGGGCGUAAAGCGCACGUAGGCGGAUCGUUAAGUCGGGGGUGAAAUCCUGGAGCUCAACUCCAGAACUGCCUUCGAUACUGGCGAUCUUGAGUCCGGAAGAGGUGAGUGGAACUCCUAGUGUAGAGGUGGAAUUCGUAGAUAUUAGGAAGAACACCAGUGGCGAAGGCGGCUCACUGGUCCGGUACUGACGCUGAGGUGCGAAAGCGUGGGGAGCAAACAGGG
rnacentral:rRNA from 1 species